rnacentral:rRNA from 1 species
CCUACGGGAGGCAGCAGUGAGGAAUAUUGGUCAAUGGGCGUAAGCCUGAACCAGCCAAGUCGCGUGAGGGAUGACGGUCCUAUGGAUCGUAAACCUCUUUUAUAAGGGAAUAAAGUGUGGGACGUGUCCUAUUUUGUAUGUACCUUAUGAAUAAGGAUCGGCUAACUCCGUGCCAGCAGCCGCGGUAAUACGGAGGAUCCGAGCGUUAUCCGGAUUUAUUGGGUUUAAAGGGUGCGUAGGCGGCUUUUUAAGUCAGUGGUGAAAGUCUGUGGCUCACCCAUAGAAUUGCCGUUAAUACUGGGGGGCUUGAGUAUGUUUGAGGCAGGCGGAAUGCGUGGUGUAGCGGUGAAAUGCUUAGAUAUCACGCAGAACCCCGAUAGCGAAGGCAGCCUGCCAGGCCAUGACUGACGCUGAUGCACGAAAGCGUGGGGAUCAAACAGGAUUAGAUACCCGGGUAGUC